rnacentral:rRNA from 1 species
CGUAUCACUUAAAGCGAUUCAGCGGGUUACGAUUGACGGAGCGAAGCGACGUCAAAGCGUAUACAAAGUCGAGUCGGUUUAAGGAUACGUUCGUUGGGUAGGGGAGCGUUCUGUAAGCCUGUGAAGGUGGCCUGUGAGGGUUGCUGGAGGUAUCAGAAGUGCGAAUGCUGACAUAAGUAACGAUAAAGCGGGUGAAAAGCCCGCUCGCCGGAAGACCAAGGGUUCCUGUCCAACGUUAAUCGGGGCAGGGUGAGUCGACCCCUAAGGCGAGGCCGAAAGGCGUAGUCGAUGGGAAACAGGUUAAUAUUCCCGUACUUGGUGUUACUGCGAAGGGGGGACGGAGAAGGCUAUGUUGGCCGGGCGACGGUUGUCCCGGUUUAAGCGUGUAGGCUGGUUUUCCAGGCAAAUCCGGAAAAUCAAGGCUGAGGCGUGAUGACGAGGCACUACGGUGCUGAAGCAACAAAUGCCCUGCUUCCAGGAAAAGCCUCUAAGCAUCAGGUAACAUCAAAUCGUACCCCAAACCGACACAGGUGGUCAGGUAGAGAAUACCAAGGCGCUUGAGAGAACUCGGGUGAAGGAACUAGGCAAAAUGGUGCCGUAACUUCGGGAGAAGGCACGCUGACACGUAGGUGAAGUGAUUUACUCACGGAGCUGAAGUCAGUCGAAGAUACCAGCUGGCUGCAACUGUUUAUUAAAAACACAGCACUGUGCAAACACGAAAGUGGACGUAUACGGUGUGACGCCUGCCCGGUGCCGGAAGGUUAAUUGAUGGGGUCAGCGCAAGCGAAGCUCCUGAUCGAAGCCCCGGUAAACGGCGGCCGUAACUAUAACGGUCCUAAGGUAGCGAAAUUCCUUGUCGGGUAAGUUCCGACCUGCACGAAUGGCGUAAUGAUGGCCAGGCUGUCUCCACCCGAGACUCAGUGAAAUUGAACUCGCUGUGAAGAUGCAGUGUACCCGCGGCAAGACGGAAAGACCCCGUGAACCUUUACUAUAGCUUGACACUGAACAUUGAGCCUUGAUGUGUAGGAUAGGUGGGAGGCUUUGAAGUGUGGACGCCAGUCUGCAUGGAGCCGACCUUGAAAUACCACCCUUUAAUGUUUGAUGUUCUAACGUGGACCCGUAAUCCGGGUUGCGGACAGUGUCUGGUGGGUAGUUUGACUGGGGCGGUCUCCUCCUAAAGAGUAACGGAGGAGCACGAAGGUUGGCUAAUCCUGGUCGGACAUCAGGAGGUUAGUGCAAUGGCAUAAGCCAGCUUGACUGCGAGCGUGACGGCGCGAGCAGGUGCGAAAGCAGGUCAUAGUGAUCCGGUGGUUCUGAAUGGAAGGGCCAUCGCUCAACGGAUAAAAGGUACUCCGGGGAUAACAGGCUGAUACCGCCCAAGAGUUCAUAUCGACGGCGGUGUUUGGCACCUCGAUGUCGGCUCAUCACAUCCUGGGGCUGAAGUAGGUCCCAAGGGUAUGGCUGUUCGCCAUUUAAAGUGGUACGCGAGCUGGGUUUAGAACGUCGUGAGACAGUUCGGUCCCUAUCUGCCGUGGGCGCUGGAGAACUGAGGGGGGCUGCUCCUAGUACGAGAGGACCGGAGUGGACGCAUCACUGGUGUUCGGGUUGUCAUGCCAAUGGCACUGCCCGGUAGCUAAAUGCGGAAGAGAUAAGUGCUGAAAGCAUCUAAGCACGAAACUUGCCCCGAGAUGAGUUCUCCCUGAGACUUAGAGUCUCCUGAAGGAACGUUGAAGACGACGACGUUGAUAGGCCGGGUGUGUAAGCGCAGCGAUGCGUUGAGCUAACCGGUACUAAUGAACCGUGAGGCUUAACCUUACA